UGCCUGUCCUCUGGUGCACCAGG
rnacentral:miRNA from 1 species